UAAUACCAGCUCCUGGAGUGUCUAUGAUCGAUUGCUGCAGUUAAAGAGUUCGUAGCCGAGGCAUUAUUUAACUGCGUUAAAGGGGAUAUCUCAAAUAUCCCUGUGCGCAGUGAUUUUGCAGAAUAAGGAGUGCUUAGGGACCAGAGUAUCAUACGGCGACUGGUGAAAUGGGAUGACCCGUGUGGGAGUAACAGAGGCGAAAGCGCUGGCCAGGGGCGAGUCCGAUGGUAAAGGACGUAGGCUAGAGGAUCGAAGACGAUUAGAGACCGUUGUAGUUCUAGCAGUAAACGAUGCCGAUGUCGUGGUGCCGAAUAAUGGCGACGCGAAAGAGAAAUCGAGUAGGGCCCUGGGGAGAGUACACGCGCAAGCGAGAAAUUUAAAGGAAAUUGACGGAAGAACACCACAAGGAGUGGAGUGUGCGGCUUAAUUUGACUCAACGCGGGACAACUUACCGGGYCCGACGACCGUAAGAGUGUGACACACGAUAGGUCGAAGAGUGGUGCAUGGCCGUUAACGACGAGUGGAGUGAUCUUUGGGUUAAGUCCGUAAAUUAGUGAGACCUCRGCCGUAAGGGACAGGUGCGCAAAGCACAGGAAGGAUGGGUCAAGGACAGGUCAGUGAUGCCCUUAGAUGGUCCGGGCUGCACGCGCACUACAGUGGUCGCCGAAAUUACCUGAUAAUUAUAAAGGCGAUCGAGAGGGAAUGAGCUUUGUAAGAGGCUCAGGAACGAGGAAUUGCUAGUAAUCGCGGACUCAUUAAGACGCGAUGAAUACGUCCCUGUUCUUUGUACACACCGCCCGUCGUUAUCGAAGAUGAAGAUAGGCGCGAACGAUCUACCAGAAAGUGAGCGCAGGUUUUUAGAUCUGAUACAAGUCGUAACAAGGUAGCUGUAGGAGAACCUGUAGCUGG
rnacentral:rRNA from 1 species